rnacentral:SRP_RNA from 1 species
CAUUGGCCCCUCGCAACGGAGAACCGUGAACCCGGUCAGGCCCGGAAGGGAGCAGCCGUAGCGGUGCAUCCGGGUGCCGAGACCAGGCUGGUGCGG